UGGAUGCCGUGAUCAUGGGAUUUAGUGUC
rnacentral:piRNA from 1 species